GUGUCUUUUGAAAGGAGAGCAGGUUAGCACUCCCCUUGACAAGGAUGGAACACAUAAGGGGCCGGAGAGGCACAAAAUUUCCGGCCCUAGUCGAUUUUUUUGU
rfam:Aedes aegypti strain Liverpool supercont1.579 genomic scaffold, whole genome shotgun sequence.